ACCUUAGAGACCAAUUAAGUUUGUUCUGGGUAUAAGCUUUUGUGUGCAUGCACACGAAAGCUUAUACCCAGAACAAACGUAGUUGGUCUCUAAGGU
rnacentral:miRNA from 1 species